rnacentral:rRNA from 1 species
AUUGAACGCUGGCGGAAUGCUUUACACAUGCAAGUCGAACGGUAGAGGGGGCAACCCCUCGAGAGUGGCGAACGGGCGAGUAAUAUAUCGGAACGUGCCCAGUCGUGGGGGAUAACGUAGCGAAAGUUACGCUAAUACCGCAUACGAUUUAAGGAAGAAAGCGGGGGAUCGCAAGACCUAGCGCGAUUGGAGCGGCCGAUAUCAGAUUAGGUAGUAGGUGGGGUAAAGGCUCACCAAGCCAACGAUCUGUAGCUGGUCUGAGAGGACGACCAGCCACACUGGAACUGAGACACGGUCCAGACUCCUACGGGAGGCAGCAGUGGGGAAUUUUGGACAAUGGACGCAAGUCUGAUCCAGCCAUUCCGCGUGCAGGAUGAAGGCCCUCGGGUUGUAAACUGCUUUUGUACGGAACGAAAAGGUCUCUCUUAAUACGGGGGGCUCAUGACGGUACCGUAAGAAUAAGCACCGGCUAACUACGUGCCAGCAGCCGCCGUAA